GGGUCUAGCUACAGCCCGCAAUACCUAUGGUUCAGACACGGAACACCCUUCAUAUCACGGAAUGCCCCUAAUAUCAGUCACGGAACACCCUCUGAUGUCAGUUUCGAUACGUCCAUCAUUGUUUUUGUCGGCGCUCGAAGGAAUGGUGGACUUUGAAUAAAUCUUUAUGAAAGCUUUUCGUGAAAAAAAGAACAAGACAGAGUUUGAGUUGGAAAUCAAGAUGACAUCGAACGUGCCAUAAAUUAGAAGAUGGCGGUGUCUUCUCUUACUUCGGAAAGCCAGAAUUAAAGCCAAGACAGCCAUCAUCAGUUUCCACACGAGAAGAAGGACAUUCUGUGUACCAAAGGUAGUGCUUUCUAAUUAUCAGCUAAAAAGUUCUCUGACACUCAUUUUAUAUAUUCACAAAAAAUCUUUGACCAUCAGGUCACAAACCAGGCCUCCAGUGAGGCCUUCACUGAGUUGUGUCUUUCUUUAGCCCUGUGUUGUGUCAAUGGCAUUAUGGGGGCAGAGAAUAGUGGUCUUAAAAAUGGGGGUUUUGUGUGCUCUAACUGAUUUAUUAAAUGGCAAUUAUUUCUGUUUCUAGUAAUUCCAGACAAGAUAAGGAACAGCAAGGACCUUUAUCUCUCUGCUCCUUCUUUUCCAAUAGUGAAGCAUAUGCAGCCUUUUUCUCCUUUUCUCACUCACUGACAUAUUUCUCAAGGGCUUGAUAUUGUAUAUCCUUAACCAAUAUGUGAUAAUGUAAAAUAUAUUUUGUGAAAGUAUAACGUAUUAUGAGACUAUUUAACUGGAAUACAGUAGAAGGUAAAGUGUUUUCACCUAUAAAUAACCAAACUUUUAUAUAAAAUGCAUGUAUUUUUUAAAAUGUUGACUGAAUUAUUUCUGCCAGCACAAUGAAUAGUAUCAAAUUUAGUUUACUGUUCUUAAAAUGUAGGCAAUGAAUGGCUUCAUAGGCUUCCUUUUGUGGAGUGUAAUUUUUUAACUGUUUUCCUUGUUCUUCAAAGAUCAGUUUCAUCUGUGGCAUUAGGUAGCAUUAACUGAAUUUGCAGGUCAGCAUAUUUAUGGUUAUGUGUAGUUGGUAGCAAACUGUCUUCUUCUUCUUUCGUCUGCUCCCAUUAGGGGCUGCCACAGCGGAUCAUCUUCUUCCAGAUCUUUCUGUCCUCUGCAUCUUGUUCUGUUACACCCAUCACCUGCAUGUCCUCUCUCACUACAUCCAUAAAGCUUUGCUUAGGCCUUCCUCUUUUCCUCUUCCCUGGCAGCUCUAUCCUUAGCAUCCUUCUCCCAAUAUACCCAGCAUC